rnacentral:rRNA from 1 species
UACGGAGGAUGCAAGCGUUAUCCGGAUUUAUUAGGUUUAAAGGGUGCGUAGGCUGUAAUGUAAGUCAGUGGUGAAAUCUUUCGGCUCAACCGAGAAACUGCCAUUGAUACUGCGUUACUUGAGUUCAGUUGAGGUAGGCGGAAUGUGUAAUGUAGCGGUGAAAUGCAUAGAGAUUACACAGAACACCGAUUGCGAAGGCAGCUUACUAAGCUGACACUGACGCUAAUGCACGAAAGCGUGGGUAGCGAACAGG